rnacentral:RNase_P_RNA from 1 species
CGGAACGAAAGCGCGACUGACGGUGCCUAGCUCGGCAACGGGCGGGCGCUGAGGAAGAUCCCAACUACGCGCCGACACCAGUCCUGCGUGAGCAGGGAGGCGAGAGCCUCGCUCUGGGAGCAGAAACGACACGUCCGCACGGGAGAUGACGAUGAGACAGCACAAUACAAAGCUGUCGAGGACCUGUGCGGGAGCGUUGAAACGGCCCAUCACUGGGUAGCAACUCCAAGAAUACGCCAAUGAGGCGUCGGCCCGAGGCGUAGGGUAGGAGGCUUAGUCCGAUGUCGCAAGGUCCGCCUGCGGCGACGCGACGGACGGAACAGAAUUGGGGCUACUCUUCGCACCG